rnacentral:rRNA from 1 species
UACGUAGGGGGCAAGCGUUGUCCGGAAUCAUUGGGCGUAAAGAGCGUGUAGGUGGCUUGGAAAGUCUUACGUGAAAGCCUGCGGCUCAACCGCAGAAGUGCGUAGGAAACUUCCUCGCUAGAGUCCGGAAGAGGAGAGCGGAAUUCCUGGUGUAGCGGUGGAAUGCGCAGAUAUCAGGAGGAACACCCGUGGCGAAGGCGGCUCUCUGGGACGGUACUGACACUGAGACGCGAAAGCGUGGGGAGCGAACAGG